rnacentral:rRNA from 1 species
GAUGAACGCUGGCGGCGUGCCUAAUACAUGCAAGUCGAGCGAAGCGGGGGCGGGCGAGUAACACGUGGCUAACCUCUUCUCAGACUGGGAUAAUUUCGGGAGACCAGAGCUAAACCGGAUACUUUAAGAUGGAUCCGGGCUGCAUUAGCUCGUGGGUAAGGGAACGGCUUACCAAGGCAACGAUGCAUAGCCGACCUGAGAGGGUGAUCGGCCACACUGGAACUGAGACACGGUCCAGAAUCCUACGGGAGGCAGCAGUAGGGAAUCUUCCGCAAUGGGCGAAAGCCUGACGGAGCAACGCCGCGUGAGUGAUGAAGGUCUUCGGAUCGUAAAACUCUGUUAUUAGGGAAGCGGUACCUAAUCAGAAAGCAACGGCUAACUACGUGCCAGCAGCCGCGGUAAUUC